GAGUUUGUCGGUUGGUCGGGCUUCACUGUUCGCACUGACCUGAUGAAUUCCUACCUUCUGAAUAACCAGCAUGCUAUUAAGUUAGUGCGUUGGGGAAGCAGAGCUAUUACCUUGAGAAAAUUAGAGUGUUCAAAGCAGGCCUAUGCCCGAAUACAUUAGCAUGGAAUAAUAGAAUAGGACGUGCGGUUCUAUUUUGUUGGUUUCUAGGAUCGCCGUA
rnacentral:rRNA from 1 species